UCGCGAUUUACGAAACCCUAAACGCGGAUUUAAUCCUCCCGGCCGGAUGCUGUGGGAGAUCAUAUGAAUCUCUGGAUUGCCAAGUUUCUCUGUUCCGUAGAUUUCCUUUCCGGUUCUUCCCUUUUGGAGCUUAUUUGUCGCUAGAGUUCUCCGCCAUAGUUGAUUUGAUUUAGCAGUAAAACUGCCGCCUUUCGGAUCAUGCUCUCUUUGCGCACCGUUCGUCGAAUCUGUGCUGCAAUCGAUGCAGCUAGCGUGACGUGUAUUGUUGCUGGUCUAUCGAAACUGAGAAAAAGAUCGGAUUUUUCUGUAUGUGCCGGCGAAUCUGGCUGUCCUGACGAUUUCCCUACCAUCUCUGCAUGCAAAGCGGCGGUGUUGAACAAUCGUCCUAGACCGAAGCCUCGUCUGGAGAAAGAGACCUCAUCGACCCGCAAUUGUCAGGGUCCACUACAAAACAGCGAGCCUGCUCUAUUCAAGCUCAAAAAAGAGAAGGAUCCAGAGAAGCUCUUCCAUCUCUUCAAAUCCAAUGCAACCAACCGCCUUGUAAUCGAGAACCGCUUUGCAUUUGAGGAUACAGUAUCACGUCUUGCGGGUGCCAGACGUUUUGACCUCAUCGAACACCUCCUUGAGCACCAAAAGACACUUCCCCAGGGUCGUCGUGAAGGAUUCAUUGUUCGGAUCAUAAUGCUAUAUGGGAAAGCAAGGAUGCCUGAUCAUGCCCUGCAGACAUUCCGUCAAAUGCACCUGUUUAGCUGCCCAAGAACGGUUAAAUCAUUCAAUGCGAUACUUAAAGUAUUGUCUCAAGCCUGCAAGUAUCAGGAUGCCCAGAUGCUUUUAGACGAGUGUGCUACGAAAUAUGGAAUAGCGUUGGAUGAGAUUUCUUAUAAUAUCACUAUCAAGUUAAUGUGUGAAAUGGGUGAUCUGGAUUCUGCUUACUUAAUCAUGGUAGAGAUGGAGAAGGCUGGGCUUAAGGCAGAUGUUGUUACAUACACAACACUCAUAUCUGCAUUUUAUAAGAAUGGGCGUGGCGAGAUUGGCAAUGGAUUGUGGAAUCUGAUGGUGCUUCGAGGCUGUUUGCCAAAUUUAGCUACUUUUAAUGUUAGAAUUCAGUAUUUGAUCAACAGAAUGAGGGCUUGGCAAGCCAAUGAGUUAAUACACUUAAUGUUGAAAGGUGGUCCAAAACCAGAUGAAAUGACAUACAACUUGAUUAUCAAAGGUUUUUGUAUGAUGGGUGAGUUUGAUAUGGCUGAGAAAAUUUUCUAUGCUUUGCGCAGAAGGGGAUGCGAGCCAAACAGCAAGAUUUAUCAAACUAUGGUGCAUUACUUCUGUGAAGGAGGAGAUUUUGAUUUUGCAUUUAGGUUGUGCAAGGAUAGCAUGGAGAGGAAUUGGUUCCCAAGUGUUGGCACCAUUGAUAAGCUAUUGAAAGGCCUUAUGAGUAUUUCAAAGCAUCAGAAUGCGAAAGAAAUUUUAAAAUUAGUUGAGGCGAGGAGUUCAUAUUCGAGUAAUGAAGUCAAAGAAUUGGAAAACUUGUUAACUUGCGAUAGUAAACAGCAGAGUCAGUGAAGCUCUGGGACAAUUGUUUAUUUAUUUGUCUUAUAAUUUGGUUGAGAAAGAAGUUUCUCUUACAAUCUUAUUUAUUUGUUUCGUAAAUCAUCUCACAAACAUUCUGGAUUCUUUUGAUAUGGAGAGUCACACUUGCUUGAAAGGAGCUCACAUGCUUUGAACUCCCUGGAAUUGCCAGCUAUAGCAAACUUUCUGAAGUUAUUUGGUAUAAAAGAGACUCAGAUGUGACGAGAUUAUACAGCAAGAUGUAUUUACAUUCAAGAUUGGGGCCUUUUUGUCUCUAAGCAUGGCUACCUCUUCCAUCGAAAAGAUUGCCAUCACUGCUCCCUUCAUUCAUUGUUGCUAGAUCAUGUAUCACUGAUCGAAAAGGUAUCGGCAUCCGUCCUUCUGUCAUCAUAAUCAGAGGAAGAUAUGCUACAUGUUUGUAUGGAAAUGUCGAUUAGUUGUAUACCAAACCUCUAUGUAUGAGCAAAAAAAGGAGAUUACACAUGAGUUUAUGUUCAACAAAUCUUAAUAAACAACCAUUUUCAAGCAGGUUGUGCAGUA